UAACCUGCCUCUUAGCGGGGAUAACUAUUGGAAACGAUAGCUAAUACCGCAUAAAAGUCGACAUUGCAUGAUGUUGACUUGAAAGGUGCAACUGCAUCACUAAGAGAUGGACCUGCGUUGUAUUAGCUAGUUGGUGAGGUAACGGCUCACCAAGGCGACGAUACAUAGCCGACCUGAGAGGGUGAUCGGCCACACUGGGACUGAGACACGGCCCAG
rnacentral:rRNA from 1 species